ensembl:lncRNA
CCGGAGGCGUCACGCACGGUAGCCGUGACGUGAUGGUGCGCCAGCCAAUCAGCGCUCCCCACUGGUCCCGCGCUCGACCAAUCCCAAGCCUCCUUGGAGAACUGAGGGCGCCACCGGAGCUCAGCUGAUUGGCAAGUUCUUUCUGUAGGGAGAUCCAAGUGACAAACCUCAAUGGCUGCCAUGGGUUACAUUUAGUGCAGAGGCCCUUGGGUGUAAGCUUCUUCACAUCUUCGAGCAAGGAGGACACUGUGGAAUUGCCAUGGCUGUUGGCCUCUACAGAGAAAAGCUACCAGUCUUAUUUUCUUAUUUUUCAAAUUUGCAAGAGCUUUAAUUUGCUUCACAGAGAACCAUUUCCAGUGUGCCAUACUUUAAAAAAAUGUAUGAAUUUGUUGCACAAACAAUGCUACAACAAGAAAAAUAUUGUAAAGGGAAAAAUUCAUCCAAAAUUCUACAGCCUAACAUGUCAAUUGUUUUCACUUUUCCUUGUGCCCUUUCACUCCCUGUCCACAUGACAUGGUCUUUAUGAUUAGACCUGGUAAAUGUUCAGUGUUAUAAACCCUGCUGUGCCUGCUAAUAGGCUGGCUGUGGGAAUUAAAGAGCUAUUGUUAUCACCAGGAACAGGGAAGUUGGAAUCAGUUAUCAGUUCUGUUAUUUAUUUACUAAAUUUCUCCAAACACCCAACUUUCCCUUUCUCUAUUUAUACUCCUGAGCUAAGCUGGACUACUGCUUUUUAAAAACAACUACAGCUUCACUUUUAAGGAACAUAUUUUUAAGGGGCAUUGCCAGUCUGUCAGUUUAUGCAAAAUUCCUUUGAGAUGAACCUCUUGGGAGAGGUAACAACAAUGUGUGUCAUCACGUUGAUUUACUUUAUUUUUUUGAAGCUUGGCUUGUUUGGAAUGAAGACAAGAAUGAUCAAAUAACAAACACUGGUAAAUUCUCUGAAAGUAUUUGCUAAUCUGAGUUAAUGUACCAUCAUCCUGAUUUGCAUUCAAGAAAACCAUAGGUAUAACCAACCUACCUACACUUGCAAAGUUAAUACGCAAAGACACUCUAAGACCUGCCAAAGACAAUCUCCUUUCUCAGGUUAGCCUGCCAUUCUACAGUGUGGACCUGACUGAGCUUGACUGACAAAGUCACUCCUGGAAGCGUAGGUUUAUUGUCUGUUGCCAGAUUUGGCACAUCAGCUUCUUAAAGGCCAUGUUUCCUUUAACUAAUGCUCUCAGAAUCUUUGAUAAAAGGUCCUUUGAUAAAGUGUUAUGGCAAUAACCAUGCAAAUCUGAAUAGCAGGAAUCUUCAUUUUAGAAACUCCAUCAAGCAUCAGGUUAUGUAAUGAGCUUAGCAUCCCUCUAGGAAAUAAAUCACAAUAUAAUAGAUGGCUAUGAAGGUCUGAAUGCAAAGCAUAUGGCCUGCCACCCACCCUCCUAUGCCAUCCACAUGCUAUGUCUUUGUUCCAUCAUCCAGACUGAUCCUAGUAACAAGUUCCUAGCUAAGUAUACUCAAGGGAGGUAUCUCUGAUAGGGAAAUAGCUGCCAGACCAUUGAAGAUACAAGUUGAGUGGCAGAAACAAAGUCAUAUAGUCUAAAUCUUCCAAGAACCUUAAGAGAGUGAAUUAUGUUGUAACAGUGGUACACCAUGCUGCUCAAAGAGGAAUCAGACCUAGUCCCUUCCUUCAGGGAGCUCUAAAUCUAGUGUGGAUUCACAGUACACCACAAUGCUACAACAGACAUAAACAAGACCUUACCCCUUCCGGUAAGGGGGAAGGAUGUAGAAGCAUAAAAGAGGGACACCUAACCCUGUCUUGGAAAUAGGGAGCUUCCUAGAGAAGGUAAAAUCUGGAUUGAAUACUGAAAAAUGAAUAGCACAUAGCCAACAAAGAGGCUUGGUCAAGAAAGUGAAAAAGAAAGUAUGGGAACAGGA